ACCUUUCAGUCACCUUGCGCCAGCUCCGUAAUCGCCUGUUUCAAGAAAACUCUGUUCUCAGUUCACUCCCCAUCAAUUCUCUGAGUAGGAACAAUGAAGUAAGUGCAGUUAUUCAAUGAAUACAUGAAUAUCAUUAAUUUCCCUCUUUUUAAAAAAUAGAGACAGGGUCUCACUCUGUUGUCCAGGCUGGUCUUGAACUCCUGGCCUCAAGCAAUCCUGUCUUGGCCUCCCAAAGUGCUGGGAUCACAGGCUUGAGCCACUGCAUCCGGCCUCCCAUUCCUUAUACUACUUGAAAUUUUGGAAAUUUUGGUAUUUUAGAAAAUGAAAAAUUGUGCACAUUUACUGCUGGUGUAGAUUCUUCUUUAGUGUAAUUUUCUUAUGACUCUCAUGAAUAAACUGAUCCUUUUUGUGAGUUGAGCUGUGGUAAAUAACAUCACAUUUUAGCACGAGGGUUGCCACCUAUUAAUUCAAACAAGCCAGAGGUCAUAGAUCUACUUGGUGACUGGUGGAGCUGUGUGGAUCUGGUAACUUGGGAGCCAUUGUUCACUGCCUCUGCUGAUUUGUUGCCACAUUUUUCUCAUUCAUUCUGGACAUUGCAGUGGAGGGAGCCCCCUCUACUUUUGACUCCUGUCCUUCAGUUUCUCCAUCUGCUCAUGCGCCCUCUUAACCAUGUGGCAUGCCACUUUCGUGGUGGCCUCCCCUCUUUAUUUGCUGUGGAUGACCAGGGCCAUCAUCCUUUAUUCUCUGAUGUGGAAACUAUUCAAGGGAAGUGAGCAAACUGGGCCAAUGGUAGGAUGUCAUUGCAGAGUGCCAGGAUAUCCUGAUGCUUUGAAGGAAAACCACUGGAGAACUUGGAUGCUUUAUCAUGGUUUUGCCAAAAAUAUAGCUAUUGAGUGGCAGUCACUGUGCUAGGGAAUGGCCAUCACCUUUUUGUUAGGAAAUAAUGUUUUAUAUGCAUUUUCAAUUGAAGCAAACAUACCAAAUGGAAGAUAAUUAUAUAAAUUCACUUAUAUGAUCAACAUUUGUAAUAUCCUGUGCCUUGCUUGGUAAAUGGCAAAUAAAGAUCUCUGGUGCACAUUUAAAAGAAUGCUCUUUUUUUUGGGCUCUCUGAAGGUUGACCUGCUCUUUCUUUCUGAACUGCAAGUGCUACAUGAUAUUUCAAGCUUGGUAAGUAGGCUGCUCUAAUUUUUUAGUUCCAUUUAUUUUGGUUUCUAGAGAAUCCUUGAAUAAUAGUAAAGGCAGUUGAAAAGUUUGAUUAAGUAUGCCCUAGAUUUAUGAUCCCAUGAAAAUUGAAAAAUUAGUGGCAGUAUUGGGAAUUUUGAACACAUCCAUGUUAUAGUCAAAUUAUUUUGCAUUUCUGCUUUUUAGGGAGAGACAGCAUAUCUUCCAAGAACACAAGCCUGGGCGUAAGAACACCCUGGCCAUAGUCCUAACUUGGCUGUUGAUUUCUUGUGAGACUUAAUUCCUAUCUAUAUCUUUGGGCCUAAAAUAGAAAUAAUAGUUUGGACUAAUAAUGCUGUCAGUCAAGUCAAGAAGGGACGAAAUCCGUCUGAAGGGUAUUUUUUUGGUGAAUGAUUUUUUAAAAAUCAUCCUUGUUACUGAAAUAGAAAUUCUUAUCUGUUUGCUACCUUCUGAAGUUGUUUUCCAAACUUUUUCAACAGGUGUUGGUUCGGGGAGUCUGGAAGUGUAGUGCAUUCCUGGGAUCAAACUGGUCCAGCCAUCUGUUCUUUCAUACGUUGGCCCAUACCUGAGUUUUUAAAACUGAGGAAUUUUGUUGAAAGCUUUUAUUAAAUAUCCAAGGAGUCUUGUACUGCUCCUAAACAUGAGAUUCGUGUUGGAUUUAUCAGAAACGCUUAUUCAAACCAGUUUCUUUUGCCACCAUUUUAGACUAUUUGCAUGUUGUGGUACACUGGUAUGGUUUAGUUUAGCCUAGUUUAGUUAGGCAUAAAACUUUAACUGGCUGUGUUUGACGUCUUUCAUCUUACUUUAUCCGCUACCUUUUUUUGUUUGUUUGUUCUCCUAAGCUGUCUCGUCAUAAGCAUCUAGCCAAGGAUCAUUCUCCUGAUUUAUAUUCACUGGAGCUGGCAGGUUUGGAUGAAAUUGGGAAGCGUUAUGGGGAAGACUCUGAAC
rnacentral:sRNA from 1 species